rnacentral:rRNA from 1 species
GACGAACGCUGGCGGCGUGCUUAACACAUGCAAGUCGAACGAUGAACCCGGAGCUUGCUCCGGUGGAUUAGUGGCGAACGGGUGAGUAACACGUGAGUAACCUGCCCUUGACUCUGGGAUAACUGCGGGAAACUGUAGCUAAUACCGGAUACGACCCUCGGCGGCAUCGCCAGGGGGUGGAAAGAAUUUCGGUCAAGGAUGGACUCGCGGCCUAUCAGCUAGUUGGUGAGGUAACGGCUCACCAAGGCGACGACGGGUAGCCGGCCUGAGAGGGUGGCCGGCCACACUGGGACUGAGACACGGCCCAGACUCCUACGGGAGGCAGCAGUGGGGAAUAUUGCACCAUGGGCGGAAGCCUGAUACAGCAACGUCGCGUGAGGGAUGACGGCCUUCGGGUUGUAAACCUCUUUUAGCAGGGAAGAAGCGAGAGUGACGGUACCUGCAGAAAAAGCACCGGCUAACUACGUGCCAGCCGCCGCGGUAA